rnacentral:tRNA from 1 species
UAAAACUACAUCUGAACUUUUAAAAUUUCCUUCAAAAAAUUUUUGGAAAUGGGAUAUUCGAAAAGAAUUUU